GUCCCCGCUGAGGGCCGUCCGGGUUAACCUAACCUAACCUAAAGGUUGGCAUUGUCGUAAAAAGAAAAGGAUUUCGUGAGCAACACCUACUACCUACUGCGAACAAUGUCUGUAGUCGUGGAUGAGCAGAAACAACAGCGCCUGCGCUUGCCACUCUUUGAUGAUUCCCAAUGUCUCCAUGCGCAUAGGAAUAGAAAUCUUAUCUCGCUUACCGCUAAUCUGCCUCAUUAAGUUCUGGCUUGGGCUUGGGUUCAGGUUCUGUUUCUGUUUCUGGCCCUGGCUCUAAAGAGACUCUGCUGCUCAUUGAAUGGAAAUUUAUUGGGUUUUCCCGAAAUGUUGCGUGCCUGUCUGGCAGCCUGAAGCACUUUCGAGAUCGUUUGAGAGCGCACAAACACAAUAUAUAUUAUUUCGUAUGUAAGCUUAAGAUGAAGUUUGAAACCAGAUAUUAGACAGCGAUAAGGAUGAUUCAAUCGGAGAAAUGGGAAGAAAAAGAAAAUAUUUAUACAAGAAUAAUUUACAAUAUUUAUUUUUUAUUAAAUGUACAACUGGUGUUUGUAAUUAUAUGAAACAGGGUACAAGCAGGUCUCAGAUCGGAUUCCCUGAAUAUCCUCCUGGGAAGAAAUGUAUAUAGUACACAUUCAACUCUCGAUUCAAUAUUGUACAAUGCGCCACAUAUAUUUGUAUCCUCAGAUAAAGCACUUCCUGGUACAUAAAUAUGUAAGACAGAAAGGAGGAAGCAUCGGAGACUACCAAAAUCGAUUCCUUCCGUUACAGAAGAGAUGGCAAUUGAUCG